rnacentral:tRNA from 1 species
GUCUUAAUAGUUUAAAUUAAAACAUUGGUCUUGUAAACCAAAGAUAAUGUUAAUUUUAAGACA